AACGAACGCUGGCGGCAUGCCUAACACAUGCAAGUCGAACGAGACCUUCGGGUCUAGUGGCGCACGGGUGCGUAACGCGUGGGAACCUGCCCUUAGGUUCGGAAUAACUCCCCGAAAGGGGUGCUAAUACCGGAUAAUGUCUUCGGACCAAAGAUUUAUCGCCUUUGGAUGGGCCCGCGUUGGAUUAGGGAGUUGGUAGGGUAAAAGCCUACCAAGGCGACGAUCCAUAGCGGGUCUGAGAGGAUGAUCAGCCACACUGGGACUGAGACACGGCCCAGACUCCGGCGGGGGGCGGAAGGGGGGAAUAUGAAAAAAGGGGGAAAGACCAAAGCCUUCAGAGCGGGGGGAGUUGUUGAGGGCUUAGGGUGGUAAUGCGUUUUUACCGGGGAUAAUAUGACGGGAACCGGCAAAAAAGGCCCGGCUAACUUCGGG
rnacentral:rRNA from 1 species